AAGUCGUAACAAGGUUUCCGUAGGUGAACCUGCGGAAGGAUCAUUACAAAAUUAUACGUGUGUUGUGUCGUGUGCAGGCAGCCGCAAGGCUCCUGUUACUCGAGCACACCAAUUUACGCUUGUUGUGUUUGUCAGAGUUAUUUGUGACUGAAAUUAUAGACAACUUUUAACAAUGGAUCUCUUGGCUCUUGCAACGAUGAAGAACGCAGUAAAGUGCGAUAUAUAGUGCGAUUUGCAUGAAUCUGUGAGUCAUCGAGUCUUUGAACGCAACUUGCGCCCAGCAAUGGGCAUGUCUGUUUGAGUACCGCAAAACCAUCUGUUCUCUGCAAAGAGGGCGAAUUGGGCCUCUGCAUGUGCUAUCGUGUAUGCAAGGCCUGGAAAGCAGCAAGAAGGUGCCGCUGAUGGAGGCCCUGCUGUGUGCUAUAAACACAUUCUUUGUGUUUGGUCGCAGCAGGCGUCUCCGCCUGUGGACACAAUACUAUACCUUCUAAUUUGGUCUCAAAUCAGGCAGGACUACCCGCUGAACUUAAGCAUAUCAGUAAGCGGAGGAAAAGAAACUAACAAGGAUUCCCCUAGUAGCGGCGAGUGAGGCGGGAAUAGCUCAAAUUUUAAAUCUCUGCACUUUGUGCAGCGAAUUGUAGUCUAAAGACGGUGAUCGAGGCAGGUAGCCGGAAUAGGUCCCUUGGAAUAGGGCGCCAGAGAGGGUGAGAGCCCCGUUGUUUCGGUGUGCCUGCUGAUAUGAGAGCCUGUCAACGAGUCGAGUUGUUUGGGAAUGCAGCUCAAAGUGGGUGGUAAAUCUCAUCUAAGGCUAAAUAUUGGCAAGAGACCGAUAGCGAACAAGUACCGUGAGGGAAAGAUGAAAAGCACCUUGAAAAGGGAGUUAAAUAGUGCGUGAAAUUGUUAAAAGGGAAACGAUAGAGGUCAGUGUUGGCGUAGCGUGCAAGGCGAUCGUUUCGGCGGUCGUUGCGCAUCUGCGCCGAGUCAAUAACGGUGAGCCGGCCUGGAAACGCUACUGAGGAAGGUGGUGUUGCUCUUCGGAGUAGCUCUUUAUAGACUCGGAUAGUCACAGGCAGGUAUACCGGGCACUUGUGCUAGCUUUGACGAAAUGGCCUUUAACGACC
rnacentral:rRNA from 1 species